rnacentral:rRNA from 1 species
GCACAAGCGGUGGAUGAUGUGGUUUAAUUCGAUGCAACGCGAAAACCUUACCACCUUUGACAUGUACGGAAUCCUUUAGAGAUAGAGGAGUGCUCGAAAGAGAGCCGUAACACAGGUGCUGCAUGGCUGUCGUCAGCUCGUGUCGUGAGAUGUUGGGUUAAGUCCCGCAACGAGCGCAACCCUUGUCAUUAGUUGCUACAUUCAGUUGGGCACUCUAAUGAGACUGCCGUGACAAACCGGAGGAAGGUGGGGAUGACGUCAAGUCCUCAUGGCCCUUAUAGGUGGGGCUACACACGUCAUACAAUGGAUGGUACAAAGGGUCGCCAACCCGCGAGGGGGAGCCAAUCCCAUAAAGCCAUUCGUAGUCCGGAUCGCAGUCUGCAACUCGACUGCGUGAAGUCGGAAUCGCUAGUAAUCGUGGAUCAGAAUGUCACGGUGAAUACGUUCCCGGGUCUU